AGAGUUUGAUCAUGGCUCAGGAUGAACGCUAGCGGCAGGCUUAAUACAUGCAAGUCAAGGGGGUAGCAAUACAACCGGCGCACGGGUGAGUAACGCGUACACAACAUACCAUAUACUGGGGUAUAGCUUUGGGAAACUGAAGGUAAUCCCCCAUAACAUUGCGAGAGGGCAUCUGAUUGCAAUUAAAGUUUCGGCGGUAUAUGAUUGGUGUGCGUUUGAUUAGCUAGUUGGUAGGGUAACGGCCUACCAAGGCGACGAUCAAUAGCUGGCGUGAGAGCGCGACCAGCCACACUGGAACUGAGACACGGUCCAGACUCCUACGGGAGGCAGCAGUAGGGAAUAUUGGACAAUGGAGGAAACUCUGAUCCAGCCAUGCCGCGUGAUAGAUGAAGGCCCUCUGGGUUGUAAAUAUCUUUUAUCUGGGAAGAAACAAUCUUAUUCUUAAGAUCUUGACGGUACCAGAGGAAUAAGCACCGGCUAACUCCGUGCCAGCAGCCGCGGUAAUACGGAGGGUGCAAGCGUUAUCCGGAUUCACUGGGUUUAAAGGGUGCGUAGGCGGGCUGAUAAGUCAGUGGUGAAAGCUCCGAGCUUAACUUGGAAACUGCCAUUGAUACUGCCAGUCUUGAAUGUCGUAGAGGUAAGCGGAAUGUUGCAUGUAGCGGUGAAAUGCUUAGAUAUGUUACAGAACACCAAUUGCGAAGGCAGCUUACUAUGCGAUGAUUGACGCUGAGGCACGAAAGCGUGGGGAGCAAACAGGAUUAGAUACCCCGGUAGU
rnacentral:rRNA from 1 species